rnacentral:rRNA from 1 species
CCUACGGGAGGCAGCAGUGAGGAAUAUUGGUCAAUGGACGCAAGCCUGAACCAGCCAAGUCGCGUGAGGGAAGACGGCCCUACGGGUUGUAAACCUCUUUUGUCGGGGAGCAAAGCGAGUCACGUGUGACUCAUUGAGAGUACACGAAGAAAAAGCAUCGGCUAACUCCGUGCCAGCAGCCGCGGUAAUACGGAGGAUGCGAGCGUUAACUGGAUUUAUUGGGUUUAAAGGGUGCGUAGCGGGAGGGUCAAGUUAGUGGUAAAAUUGCGGGGCUAAACCUGGUACUGCCGUUGAUACUGCAUACCUUGAGUGCGCGAGAGGUAUGCGGAAUGCGUGGUGUAGCGGUGAAAUGCAUAGAUAUCACGAAGAACUCCGAUUGCGAAGGCAGCAUACUGGCGCGCAACUGACGCUGAUGCGCGAAAGCGUGGGUAUCGAACAGGAUUAGAUACCCCUGUAGUC